ACGUAGGAGACGAGCGUUAUCCGGAUUCACUGGGCGUAAAGCGCGUGCAGGCGGUUUGGUAAGUUGGGCGUGAAAUCCCCCGGCUCAACUGGGAAAGGGCGUUCAAAACUAACUGACUUGAGUGCGAUAGAGGAAAGUGGAAUUUCCGGUGUAGUGGUGAAAUGCGUAGAGAUCGGGAGGAACACCAGAGGCGAAGGCGACACCCUGGGUCGUUCCUGACGCUAAGGCGCGAAAGCGCGGGGAGCGAACGG
rnacentral:rRNA from 1 species